rnacentral:rRNA from 4 species
UGGGGAAUAUUGGACAAUGGGGGGAACCCUGAUCCAGCCAUGCCGCGUGUGUGAAGAAGGCCUUAUGGUUGUAAAGCACUUUAAGCGAGGAGGAGGGUACUGGUAUUAAUACUACCAGCUACUGGACGUUACUCGCAGAAUAAGCACCGGCUAACUCUGUGCCAGCAGCCGCGGUAAUACAGAGGGUGCGAGCGUUAAUCGGAUUUACUGGGCGUAAAGCGUGCGUAGGCGGCUAAUUGAGUCGGAUGUGAAAUCCCCGAGCUUAACUUGGGAAUUGCAUUCGAUACUGGUUAGCUAGAGUGUGGGAGAGGAUGGUAGAAUUCCAGGUGUAGCGGUGAAAUGCGUAGAGAUCUGGAGGAAUACCGAUGGCGAAGGCAGCCAUCUGGCCUAACACUGACGCUGAGGUACGAAAGCAUGGGGAGCAAACAGG